CAGAGUUGCCUCCAGAGCAGGGGUGCCUGUUCCUUCCUCACUCUUACAGCUCUAAUCAUCGCACCCCAUCUGAGGAUAAUUUGCACAUCUCACGUGAGGCCAGGACGCACACAGACAGAAGCGGGUACCUUGGUUUACUGUUCCACCCCAUAUCUUUCUUCAUCUCCCCUGUUCUUUCUGGAAUGCAGAGCAUGAGCAGCCCCGGGAACUCCGCAGGGAGCCUCAUUUUGAGAAUUUGAAACGAAGACUCCUGAUCAGCCAAGGAGAGAUUACAGCUGAGUUUUUAUCACAGAUUUACAAGAGAAAGUCCUCCCCUGGGACGAUAUGCAAAUCCUUCGUGGGGAUAGCCGAACAGAAAAACACUGGGAUAUAAAAAUUUCAUUUCAAAGUACAAGGAUUGAUGAUGGAAAAC
rnacentral:lncRNA from 1 species